GAGAAACACAACAUACAUUGGCCAGCCCACGACUAACACUAAAUGAAGCAUUUCAAGAAUUAGAUUGAUGUUAAAGUUGUCAAUCUCCAGCCACAUUGCCAGAUGGCUCAGAUUCAGUCAAGCUAGGUUGAACACUGAACCAU